UACGAAGGGGGCUAGCGUUGCUCGGAAUCACUGGGCGUAAAGGGCGCGUAGGCGGCGUUUUUAAGUCGGGGGGUGAAAGCCUGUGGCUCAACCACAGAAUGGCCUUCGAUACUGGGACGCUUGAGUAUGGUAGAGGUUGGUGGAACUGCGAGUGUAGAGGUGAAAUUCGUAGAUAUUCGCAAGAACACCGGUGGCGAAGGCGGCCAACUGGACCAUUACUGGACGCUGAGGCGCGAAAGCGUGGGGAGCAAACAGG
rnacentral:rRNA from 1 species